GGUUUAAUUCGAUGCAACGCGAAGAACCUUACCUACUCUUGACAUCCAGAGAACUUUCCAGAGAUGGAUUGGUGCCUUCGGGAACUCUGAGACAGGUGCUGCAUGGCUGUCGUCAGCUCGUGUUGUGAAAUGUUGGGUUAAGUCCCGCAACGAGCGCAACCCUUAUCCUUUGUUGCCAGCGGUUAGGCCGGGAACUCAAAGGAGACUGCCAGUGAUAAACUGGAGGAAGGUGGGGAUGACGUCAAGUCAUCAUGGCCCUUACGAGUAGGGCUACACACGUGCUACAAUGGCGCAUACAAAGAGAAGCGACCUCGCGAGAGCAAGCGGACCUCAUAAAGUGCGUCGUAGUCCGGAUUGGAGUAGAUCUAUACACGC
rnacentral:rRNA from 1 species